UUUGGUGGCGAUAGCGAAGAGGUCACACCCGUUCCCAUGCCGAACACGGAAGUUAAGCUCUUCAGCGCCGAUGGUAGUUGGGGGCUUCCCCCUGCGAGAGUAGGACGCCGCCAAGC
rnacentral:rRNA from 1 species